AUCGAUGGCCGGACCAACCUGAAUGCGCCUGGUCUCAGAAGCUAAGCAGGGUUGGCUUGGUCAGUACUUGGACAGGAGACCGCCUGGGAGGCCCGGUGCUGUAGGCU
rnacentral:rRNA from 2 species